rnacentral:rRNA from 1 species
UACGGAAGGCAGCAGUGGGGAAUAUUGCACAAUGGGCGCAAGCCUGAUGCAGCCAUGCCGCGUGUAUGAAGAAGGCCUUCGGGUUGUAAAGUACUUUCAGCGGGGAGGAAGGCGAUGCGGUUAAUAACCGCGUCGAUUGACGUUACCCGCAGAAGAAGCACCGGCUAACUCCGUGCCAGCAGCCGCGGUAAUACGGAGGGUGCAAGCGUUAAUCGGAAUUACUGGGCGUAAAGCGCACGCAGGCGGUCUGUUAAGUCAGAUGUGAAAUCCCCGGGCUUAACCUGGGAACUGCAUUUUGAAACUGGCAGGCUUGAGUCUUGUAGAGGGGGUAGAAUUCCAGGUGUAGCGGUGAAAUGCGUAGAGAUCUGGAGGGAAUACCGGUGGCGAAGGGCGGCCCCUGGGACAAAGACUGACGCUCAGGUGCGAAAGCGUGGGGAGCAAACAGGAUUAGAUACC